rnacentral:misc_RNA from 1 species
GAUGAAGAACGCAGCGAAAUGCGAUACUUGGUGUGAAUUGCAGAAUCCCGUGAACCAUCGAGUCUUUGAACGCAAGUUGUGCCCGAAGCCACUAGGCCGAGGGCACGCCUGCCUGGGUGUCACACGUCGUUGCCCCCCCCCCCAUCUACUCCUUCGGGAUUGCGGGGGGCGGAUGAUGGCCUCCCGUGCGCCUAGCCGCGCGGUUGGCAUAAAUACCAAGUCCUCGGCGACGCACGCCACGACAAUCGGUGGUUGCGAAACCUCGGUUGCCCGUCGUGUGCGUUCGUCGCGCAUCGAGGGCUCGAAAAAAUGCUCGGCUCCGGCUCGGCUUUCAACGCGACCCCAGGUCAGGCGGGGUUACCCGCUGAAUUUAAGCAUAUCAAUAAGCGGAGGA